GUAGGUGAUGUGCAGGGAUUGGCAUUGUUUGAAAUUUAAAAAAAGAGUUUUUCCGAUGCAUAAGAGAAAAUUUGGAGAGAGGAAGACUCCUCACGUAGAAGAACUGUUAUUUGCUAUAGAAAGCUCUAACAGAUGGGUUUUUUUGGGGGAGAAAAAAAGAAAAGGAAAAGAAGGAUAGGAGAUUCAGGGAUUUUUUCUAGGGGAACUGUCUUUGUGGAGGAGAUCGUUUUGGUGGGAAGAAGCAAAACAGGAAUUCACGAUUGAUUUUAGAGGAUUUCGGAGAAGAAAGGGAAGCCAAGUAACCCGGUGAAGAUUGCUCAGUUUUAAUGUUUUGACAGCUUUUUGGAUCAUUAAGACAAGUCAAGCAAAGGAGAGAAGCAAAGAGAAGCAAAGUGAAGCAAAGUGAAAAAAAUCAGAGGACAGCAGCUGCAGUCUUCUUUCGCACUUUUGGAGCACUUCCCGAAGUCCAUUUUUUACAUACUAUAUACCAUUUCAAAGCUCUGGAAGUCAAGAAUCCAACGUUUCAAACCGUACACGAUUUGGAGCUGAAAUGAGGAAGAUAUGACCUUCGGAAGCCAACUGCUCCAGGCUAUGCGAAAAUUUCGCAUUCCACAAGGUGUUAUGCGAAAUUCGCAUAACACCUUCAAAAUUCGCAUAACCCAUGCGUGUUGCGAAUUUUCCUCUGCUUUUGCCGACUCCACUUUAGAUAUUUUCCUUUGUAUUUUGUGAUGUAAUUUCCUUUCUUAUCCUUGUAACUAACCAAUCACAAGCUUUUGCUUUUGUAAAUACUAUAUAAGGGGUGCAAAUCACCUCUUGGAUGAUAUAGAAUAUAGAAUACGUAUUACGUUUGACACUGAGAAUUUUUUA